UAAAAAAUACAGGGGAGCUUGUGAACAAGCUGAGAGUAAGUUAGUAACUUAGACCCUUUUACCUGAUUUGGAUAAUGCCAACGUAGGAAGUCAUUUAACUUGCUUA
rnacentral:ncRNA from 2 species